rnacentral:rRNA from 1 species
GUGUCAGCAGCCGCGCGGUAAUACGGGGGGAGCAAGCGUUGUUCGGAAUUACUGGGCGUAAAGGGCGUGUAGGCGGCUAGAUAAGUGAGAUGUGAAAGGUCUCGGCUCACCCGAGGACGUGCAUCUCAUACUGUUUGGCUUGAGUACGGGAGAGGAUGGGGGAAUUCCUGGUGUAGCGGUGAAAUGCGUAGAUAUCAGGAGGAACACCAGUGGCGAAGGCGCCCAUCUGGCCCGAUACUGACGCUGAGGCGCGAAAGCUAGGGGAGCGAACGGGAUUAGAUACCCCGGUAGUCCUAGCCGUAAACGGUGAUCACUAGGUGUUGGAGGCAUUGACCCCUCCAGUGCCGCAGCUAACGCAUUAAGUGAUCCGCCUGGGGAGUACGGCCGCAAGGCUGAAACUCAAAGGAAUUGACGGGGGCCCGCACAAGCGGUGGAGCAUGUGGUUUAAUUCGACGCAACGCGAAGAACCUUACCCAGACUUGACAUGCUUAGGACCGGUGUGGAAACACACCUUUCCUUCGGGACCUUUGCACAGGUGCUGCAUGGCUGUCGUCAGCUCGUGUCGUGAGAUGUUGGGUUAAGUCCCGCAACGAGCGCAACCCUUGUCCCUAGUUGCUAACGGGUAAUGCUGAGCACUCUAGGGAGACUGCCGGUGAUAAACCGGAGGAAGGUGGGGAUGACGUCAAGUCCUCAUGGCCCUUACGUCUGGGGCUACACACGUGCUACAAUGGCCGGUACAGAGGGUUCCGAUACCGCGAGGUGGAGGUAAUCCCAAAAAACCGGUCUCAGUUCGGAUUGCAGUCUGCAACUCGACUGCAUGAAGUCGGAAUCGCUAGUAAUCGCUGAUCAGCAGGCAGCGGUGAAUACGUUCCCGGGCCUUGUACACACCGCCCGUCAAGCCACGAAAGUUGGUAGCACCCGAUGUCGCCGUGUCAACCGCAAGGAGACAGGCGCCUAAGUGAGCUGGCGAUUGGGGCUAAGUCGUACAAAGUAACCAUCCAUAUGACUAGU